rnacentral:tRNA from 1 species
GCUGUUGUAGCUCAGCAGGCAGAGCACUUCCUUGGUAAGGAAGAGGUCAGCAGUUCGAAUCUGCCCAACAGCUCCA